CAAAACCAACUUGAACAACAUAGUAAGAACCCAUCUCUACAAAAAAUUAAAAAAUUAAAAAUUUAGCCUAGGCACAGUGGCGUGUGUCUGUAGUCCUAGCUACUUGGGAGGCUGAGGCAGGAGGAUCGCUUGAGCCCAGGAGUUCCAGGCUGCAGUGAGCUCAGUGGGUUUGCUCUUGACUGUGCCAUUGGUAUUUAUUUGCCAGUGAGUGUGUGGGGAGGAGGUGCCUCUUUGGAGGUGUGGAGAUGGAUCUUGGCCAGGUGGACUGGGAUGUCUACAUGCAGGACGGAGCAGCCCCUGGACGUGUGCAACAGACCAGGCUUGGGAAGAGUAAAGCUGGACCUGAGACCUACUAGCUCCACGUCUUCAUGUCUGACAUGGAAUUCCAAGGAGCCUGUGAAUUUUAAUCUGAAUAUGGGCUUCCAGGUCAUUAUGAAGGAACAUUAUGGCCGGGGAAUGGCUGGUUACGAGUCUUUUGUUUGAAAGGUUUAAUCUUUGCUUGUAGAUCUAGCCACUUACCACGAGGUGGCAAUAGCAACCU
rnacentral:lncRNA from 1 species